GUUCUUAUCAUGUUAUUGUUUUUGUUUUGUUUUUUUCACAUAAAGUUUUUUGCAUUAAACAAGAAAAUAUUGAUUGGUGGUCUGUUUAGUUUUGCGUGUAUGAUCCAAACGCAGUUUGUUUCAUUUAAGUGCGUCUUCCUACAUGCUAAUGUGUCGCAAAGACAAAGAAGUGGUGUGGCUCACGUUAUAAUGUCAAACAAACUAUCCUUUUACGUAAGCAAUUGAUUCUUAUAAGAAAUUAGCGAAUUUUUGUUCUUUAUUUGCAUGUCUUAAAAGCAUAGUGGUCAGAAUAAUGAUUAGUUUUUUUUUAAUUUUUUUUUGAUUUGUUUUAUUUAAGUUUAAUAAACCGAUAAGAAACAAAA